rnacentral:lncRNA from 1 species
GUUUAGUUUGGUUUUGGUUUGCUAGUGAGCGGAAAAUCUGAUGUGACACCUUAAAGGCCAGCCCACAAGUGGCAGCACCUGAUCGUCAUCUCUGCUCUCAGCCUCUAUGGGAGGCACCCGGCCCUGCCGUUGCUGCUGGGCUUCCUCUGCCCUGAGGGCUUUCGUGUGAGCUCAGGGCAAUGCAAGUGUGUGUUCAGUUACCAAGCCCAAAAGUCAAAAGAACAGCCAGAGCCAAGCUGGCUUUUGAGGAGAGAGGCCGGCUCCUCCAGCCUGGCUGCAUUUGCCUGAGGUAGAUCGUGAGUGCUCUGCCCCAGCCUCUCCGCCCUCCUGUGUCCUUUCUCAGCGGCUGCUCUAAAGUAUAACUUCACGUAGUGGUGACUUAACUUGAAAGGAGCCGCAGGGGGCGUGAGAGCAGCUUGGAGAGGUGGGAGCCUGGGCCGCCGAUGGCUCCAGCCUGUGAAAGUGUGGAAAGCUCGUUCCAGGAAAAUUGGAAUAAUCACCUCAUUGGCUGGCUUUCAGGCGGGGUCCUUGGUGAAUUUUGUCAUGGUUAUUUAAGGAACCUUGCCUAGAAGUCCCAACUUGCAGUUCCCCAUCGACGGGAAGGCUUGGACUCCAAGAUGAUUAUAAAGGAAUAUCGGAUUCCUCUGCCAAUGACCGUGGAGG